rnacentral:lncRNA from 1 species
CCUCGUUGCCGCCGCCCUCCUUGUCCUGCUGGCCACGUACCCACCGACGGCGCGUUCUCCUCCAGGUAUGCAUACCGGCCACUGCGAGUUCCAAAUCCCAGCUUAUGUGUCAGUGUGUGUGUGUAUGAAGGGAUCGAUCGUGGUGGCCGCAUGCAGUGCUGCUACUGGGUGGCGACGCCGAGGCGGGUGCACGGGGUAGCCGGCCGGCGCAGUCGACGCCACGUGAGAGAAGGAAGCUGGGUGUGGUAGCGGGCCGGCGCUUGGGCCAGAGGGUGCCCGUGAAGCCACCCUCGCCGGACCCCAACGGCUGGAAGACGAUGGUGAAGCCCGUGUCGCCGCCGCCGCCAUCAUCAGUGUACUAGGUGUACGAAAGCAGUAUGCCGAUCUGGUGCUCACUUGCCCAUGCUAUGCAACGUCGCGUACUUGCGCGUGGGUGGUGGCUGCAAAAUCUUGUCUUAAGAUUAACUUUUCAUUUCUUGUGCGGCUUCUAAUGGCACUUAUGGAUGACUGGAACGGUCUUUUGCUCCGUGCAAUCAUGAAACCAAAAUAAGGUUAAUACUCUACUCUUUAUUAUUUUUUGAGCAAAGCUUAAUACUCUGCUGGUUAAGUACAAAUGUUCUGGGCUUUUGGCGGGCUAAAUU